rnacentral:lncRNA from 1 species
UGCUGGGAUUACAGGCGUGAGCCACUGUGCCCGGCCUGUUGGGGCUUUUUUUGGUCUGUGCCUUUUAGUGUUUCCAGGUUACUCAUUUCCUCAGCUCCAAGUCUGGGAAAUAUGAGGUAAAAAGAAAAGCCAGAAAACUGACUGCUGUAUCAUUCCUUGGGUCCCAAGGUCCCUAGUUGGCCUGUCUUCUCUUCAUGAGAUGGGGUCUUGCUUUGUUGCCUAAGCUGGUCUCCAACUCCUGGCCUUAAGUGACCCUCCCGCCUCGGCUUCCCAAAGUGUUGAGAUUAUAGGCCCAAGCUACCACACUCAGCCUCAAUUUCAUAUUUUUAAACAGUCUCAUUGAAAUAUAAUGGAAAAUUAACAUUUAAAGUGUACAGUUUGGUAAGUUUGACAUAUAUGUAUACAUACACUCAUGAAACCAUCACUACAGUAAAGAAAAUAAACAUAUACAUCACCCUAAAAGUUCCUUCCUGCCUCUUCGUUUUAUUUUUUGCUUCUCCACAGAGUAAGCUCUGCCUCCUGCCUCUUUGUAAUCCUUCCUCCCUGUACCUCCCC